UGAGGAAUAUUGGUCAAUGGACGCAAGUCUGAACCAGCCAAGUAGCGUGCAGGAUGACGGCCCUAUGGGUUGUAAACUGCUUUUAUGCGGGGAUAAAGUGCGUGACGUGUCAUGCAUUGCAGGUACCGCAUGAAUAAGGACCGGCUAAUUCCGUGCCAGCAGCCGCGGUAAUACGGAAGGUCCGGGCGUUAUCCGGAUUUAUUGGGUUUAAAGGGAGCGUAGGCCGCCAGAUAAGCGUGUUGUGAAAUGUACCGGCUCAACCGGUGAAUUGCAGCGCGAACUGUUUGGCUUGAGUGCACGGUAAGCAGGCGGAAUUCAUGGUGUAGCGGUGAAAUGCUUAGAUAUCAUGAAGAACUCCGAUUGCGAAGGCAGCUUGCUGCAGUGCGACUGACGCUGAUGCUCGAAGGUGCGGGUAUCAAACAGG
rnacentral:rRNA from 1 species